AUGAACGCUAGCUACAGGCUUAACACAUGCAAGUCGAGGGGCAGCAUGGUCUUAGCUUGCUAAGGCCGAUGGCGACCGGCGCACGGGUGAGUAACACGUAUCCAACCUGCCGUCUACUCUUGGACAGCCUUCUGAAAGGAAGAUUAAUACAAGAUGGCAUCAUGAGUCCGCAUGUUCACAUGAUUAAAGGUCUUCCGGUAGACGAUGGGGAUGCGUUCCAUUAGAUAGUAGGCGGGGUAACGGCCCACCUAGUCUUCGAUGGAUAGGGGUUCUGAGAGGAAGGUCCCCCACAUUGGAACUGAGACACGGUCCAAACUCCUACGGGAGGCAGCAGUGAGGAAUAUUGGUCAAUGGGCGAGAGCCUGAACCAGCCAAGUAGCGUGAAGGAUGACUGCCCUAUGGGUUGUAAACUUCUUUUAUAAAGGAAUAAAGUCGGGUAUGGAUACCCGUUUGCAUGUACUUUAUGAAUAAGGAUCGGCUAACUCCGUGCCAGCAGCCGCGGUAAUACGGAGGAUCCGAGCGUUAUCCGGAUUUAUUGGGUUUAAAGGGAGCGUAGAUGGAUGUUUAAGUCAGUUGUGAAAGUUUGCGGCUCAACCGUAAAAUUGCAGUUGAUACUGGAUAUCUUGAGUGCAGUUGAGGCAGGCGGAAUUCGUGGUGUAGCGGUGAAAUGCUUAGAUAUCACGAAGAACUCCGAUUGCGAAGGCAGCCUGCUAAGCUGCAACUGACAUUGAGGCUCGAAAGUGUGGGUAUCAAACAGGAUUAGAUACCCUGGUAGUCCACACGGUAAACGAUGAAUACUCGCUGUUUGCGAUAUACUGCAAGCGGCCAAGCGAAAGCGUUAAGUAUUCCACCUGGGGAGUACGCCGGCAACGGUGAAACUCAAAGGAAUUGACGGGGGCCCGCACAAGCGGAGGAACAUGUGGUUUAAUUCGAUGAUACGCGAGGAACCUUACCCGGGCUUAAAUUGCAGAUGAAUUACGGUGAAAGCCGUAAGCCGCAAGGCAUCUGUGAAGGUGCUGCAUGGUUGUCGUCAGCUCGUGCCGUGAGGUGUCGGCUUAAGUGCCAUAACGAGCGCAACCCUUGUUGUCAGUUACUAACAGGUUCCGCUGAGGACUCUGACAAGACUGCCAUCGUAAGAUGUGAGGAAGGUGGGGAUGACGUCAAAUCAGCACGGCCCUUACGUCCGGGGCUACACACGUGUUACAAUGGGGGGUACAGAGGGCCGCUACCACGCGAGUGGAUGCCAAUCCCCAAAACCUCUCUCAGUUCGGACUGGAGUCUGCAACCCGACUCCACGAAGCUGGAUUCGCUAGUAAUCGCGCAUCAGCCACGGCGCGGUGAAUACGUUCCCGGGCCUUGUACACACCGCCCGUCAAGCCAUGGGAGCCGGGGGUACCUGAAGUGCGUAACCGCGAGGAGCGCCCUAGGGUAAAACUGGUGACUGGGGCU
rnacentral:rRNA from 1 species